CGGGGUGUAGCGCAGCUUGGUAGCGCGUCUGUUUCGGGAAUAGAAGGUCGCAGGUUCAAAUCCUGUCACCCCGACCA
rnacentral:tRNA from 1 species